GAUAAGCAGUAUAUGAAUAAAUAUUAUCCACUUCAAUUGCAACGUAAUUCAGACAUUAAUCCAUAUUAAAUCCAAUAAUAUUAAAUGAUUGCCAGAGAUUUGUUUUUUCCAUGAGUAUAUUACUAGAGAAGACAAGAAAACUUUUGAAGCGUUACAUGAACACGGCGGCAAAGUCUGUUUUUCAUCAGAUUAAAUUUACAAUAAAUACUGAAAAUGAUAAACAAUGUCUUUCCACUGUAAACGAGCGCGUGCAGGCCGUAACUAGGGAAAAGCACAUUCUGCUUGUGAUGAACACACAAGUUGGCACUGUCUCUCAUUAUUGCGGUAAAAAAAUGUCAUGCCUUUCAGGGUUUAAAUAAAAAUAUAACUGAAAGACCAUCAACAUAUAGAGACAUUUAAGAACUAGAAGACCAGAUAUGGCAUGUUGUUAACACUUGUUUAAACUACCAAUCGUCACCCAUAGCUUACUCAGAAAAAAUGUGACUCUCUCUAAUUAUUGCGGUAGACUUUCCAACAAAUGUCAUGCAUUUAAGGGUUUAAACAAAAAAAACUGAACAACGAACAAAAUGGCGAGAAUUUUAAUGUAAGCAAUUGUUUGAAAUUUUGAACUACAUGUACUUUAUAUUCAAUUACCCAUAAGGCCAUAUUUCAAUUAUCCACAAGUCCCAUAGAUUUUUCAGAACAUUAUUUCAUUAGACAAUGGCGGCAUGGCUGCCGCGGAAUAAUCGCGCCUCGUAACUUGCAGAGUAGCGUCCCUUUGAACAGACAAUGUCACUAUGGCGACGUUUUCAUUCGUCAUCGACGUUCGCAAAAUGUGCACGCGCAAAGAACAUUGUCUUAUACAUCUCCCGGACUUAUCAAACUCUUCCCAAACAGAAGAUUAUGUCUGCCCUUAAACUUGGUCUUGCCGCCUACCUGUCGACAUCAGGUACUGGGGUACGGAGACUCCCUUCUACCAUCGCCGGACAUGCCGCCUGACUGUUGUUUGAAGCAAUGGAUACGCUGCCUGCUUUUGGACCGAGUCAGUUCAGCAUCUUCGGGGAAGAUGCAAUGGACACACAACCUUCCACGGCACAGCCAGUUCAGUAUAUUUUCGUUAUGUAACUUUAUGUUUUCAUUGUUACUCUUUCUAUACAAUCUGGCUGUGGGAGAUAUGGUGAUUGUAACAGGAGACACAUGGAUCGUAUCAUAAUGUUUACUUGUUUGUUUGUUUAUUUCAGAACAAUGACAUGGACACAGCACCUGCAAUGGGACAUGGGCAGUUCAGCAUCUUUGCCAAGGUAAGAAACCUUAUUUCUGAAAUCUGGAUAACGACUGAAUCUAAAUGCAUGCUUCUGGCUUUAACAAAUGUUUAUAAUCAUCUUAAAGACAUAAUCAACUGUUCAAAACACUGUAUUAACAUAUCCCUUUAGUUAAGUUUACAUUUCUAAUAAGUUGUAAUUUCUUUCAAACACGCUACACCACUAAACAUUUAGCACCUUGAACAAGUGGACAUGUUGGAAGUACACACCUGAUGGUAUUUCCUCUCUUCAGCCUCAAAGUUGGAAGAAUGUGAGCGGCACGUUUGGUACCAUGAAUCUGAGCCACAUCCUGAAGACAGGGCACUGAAGUUCACCUUCAUAACUCAAGUGCAAGGCGGAUCGGCACAGACGGACAUUGCCGUGUGUAUAGGACCGACCUUGACCUUGCCUUGUGUAUAGGACCGACACUUGGGUGCAUAGAUGAUCUUCAUAGUUAUACGAUUGUACCUGGGUAGAGAAAUUGAAGUAAUUAAUAGAAAGAUGAUUUGGAACAUUACUAUUCCAAAAUGAUAUGUUCAUUGUCAUUAAUCAGUUUUACAUACUUUAUGUAAAUAGCUAUACAUUUUGAUUGAGUUUACCAGAUAUAGAUACCACUUGUUUUCAUGAAUACAUUCCUCGUAAACUGUAAAUACAUUUGUAUUCUGUAUUUUAUAUAUUUGCUGUUAAACAGAACAAUUUUACCACAUAACCACAGCCAUGUACAAAAGUAUUGUGUGUAGAUAGUCUCUGAAAUAGCAUUAUGUGAUCUAUAUAUAGUGUUUUUGUUACACAUUGUUAUUAUUACUAUAAAUUUAUUGAUAAAUAUAUUUUUAUAUCUUUCAAUAAGAACUUCCUACGUAACAUGUGAAUGUAUAUUUGUUUAUGAUGCAAUUUAUCAAAACAGUUUUACCUUAUGAAUUAUACCAGAAAUCUUAUUAUGAUAUAGAUAUUUAUAUGUCCUUGAAAAUAUCAUACAUGUGAUCUAUAAAUAGUACUAUUGUUAUGCAUGCUUAUUAUGCAGUUAUUGAUUAUUACAUUGAUACUUUUUAAAAAGAGCUUCCUACAUAAUAUGUGAAUAGAUGUAUUUGUAUAUGCAACUUUUCAAAACAGCUUUACCUCAUAAAUUAUACAAAACAUCUUAUUAUAAAAAGAUAUUCAUAUUGUCUUAAAAAUAUGAAUCAUGUGAUCUAUAAAUAGAACUAUUGUUAUGUAUGUUUAUUAUUGCUUUAUAUUUAUAAGAUAAUAUAAAGAUAGUUUAAAAAAAGAGCCUCCCACAUAAGCUAUGCAUUUAUAUAUGUAUAAUGCUGUUUAGUAGAACAUUUCCACCUCAUAAUUCAUGAAUAAUGUGUGCAUGGAUUCUCUACAAUAUGAUGCAUGGGAUCUACAAUGUAGAACUAUUGUUACACAUUGUAAUUAUUACUAUACAUAUAUGUUGUUUUCUGUAUUGUUAUUUUUGAAUAAAGGUUUUUGCAUUGUUGAUGUUUUUGCCUGUCUAUUGUUUCCAUAGGUGUUGUAGUGCACUUGCUAACUGUCAGCUACAACU